AGUGAACGCUGGCGGUAGGCCUAACACAUGCAAGUCGAACGGCAGCACAGUAAGAGCUUGCUCUUACGGGUGGCGAGUGGCGGACGGGUGAGGAAUACAUCGGAAUCUACUUUUUCGUGGGGGAUAACGUAGGGAAACUUACGCUAAUACCGCAUACGACCUACGGGUGAAAGCAGGGGAUCUUCGGACCUUGCGCGAUUGAAUGAGCCGAUGUCGGAUUAGCUAGUUGGCGGGGUAAAGGCCCACCAAGGCGACGAUCCGUAGCUGGUCUGAGAGGAUGAUCAGCCACACUGGAACUGAGACACGGUCCAGACUCCUACGGGAGGCAGCAGUGGGGAAUAUUGGACAAUGGGCGCAAGCCUGAUCCAGCCAGACCGCGUGGGUGAAGAAGGCCUUCGGGUUGUAAAGCCCUUUUGUUGGGAAAGAAAAGCAGCAGGUUAAUACCCCGCUGUUCUGACGGUACCCAAAGAAUAAGCACCGGCUAACUUCGU
rnacentral:rRNA from 1 species